GCACCUCUGGCGUCGAGCGGCGGACGGGUGAGUAAUGCUUGGGAAUAUGCCUUAUGGUGGGGGACAACAGUUGGAAACGACUGCUAAUACCGCAUGAUGUCUACGGACCAAAGUGGGGGACCUUCGGGCCUCACGCCAUAAGAUUAGCCCAAGUGGGAUUAGCUAGUUGGUGAGGUAAUGGCUCACCAAGGCGACGAUCCCUAGCUGGUUUGAGAGGAUGAUCAGCCACACUGGGACUGAGACACGGCCCAGACUCCUACGGGAGGCAGCAGUGGGGAAUAUUGCACAAUGGGCGCAAGCCUGAUGCAGCCAUGCCGCGUGUGUGAAGAAGGCCUUCGGGUUGUAAAGCACUUUCAGUAAGGAGGAAAGGUUAAGUGUUAAUAGCACUUAGCUGUGACGUUACUUACAGAAGAAGCACCGGCUAACUCCGUGCCAGCAGCCGCGGUAAUACGGAGGGUGCGAGCGUUAAUCGGAAUUACUGGGCGUAAAGCGUACGCAGGCGGUUUGU
rnacentral:rRNA from 1 species